rnacentral:rRNA from 1 species
GACGAACGCUGGCGGCGUGCUUAACACAUGCAAGUCGAACGGAAAGGCCCCUUUGGGGGUACUCGAGUGGCGAACGGGUGAGUAACACGUGAGUAACCUGCCCUUGACUUCGGGAUAACUUCAGGAAACUGGGGCUAAUACCGGAUAGGAAUCCUUGCUGCAUGGUGGGGGUUGGAAAGCUUCGGCGGUUUUGGAUGGACUCGCGGCUUAUCAGCUUGUUGGUGGGGUAGUGGCUUACCAAGGCGUUGACGGGUAGCCGGCCUGAGAGGGCGACCGGCCACAUUGGGACUGAGAUACGGCCCAGACUCCUACGGGAGGCAGCAGUGGGGAAUAUUGCACAAUGGGCGGAAGCCGGAUGCAGCAACGCCGCGUGCGGGAUGACGGCCUUCGGGUUGUAAACCGCUUUCAGCAGGGGCGAAGCUUGUGGUGACGGUACCUGCAGAAGAAGCACCGGCUAACUACGUG